rnacentral:rRNA from 1 species
UUUGGAGCUUAAGGUACAAAACUCAACCACGUUAAGCAACUCAAUAAAAAGUGAAAACUUUGUGGAACAUGAGAUUUUACCUUCGGUUGGGGCGACCACGGAGGAAAAAAAAGCCUCCAGGUGGAACGGGAAAAUUUCCUAAAACUAAGAGAGACAUCUCUAAGCCACAGAACAUCUGACCAAAUAUGAUCCGGCUAAUACAAGCCGAUCAACGAACCAAGUUACCCUA